UUUUUUUUUUAAGAUCCAGUUGAUAAGAUAUAAUUGCCCACUUAGACAUACAAAGCCCGGUACCAUCCAUCCCUAGGAACAUUGAUAACAACCUGUAAAUACACAGAGCAGAAUCUUAACAUCACCUGCUAUGGCUUCUCACCCCUCUCCACCUCCUGUCUCUCCUUUCUCCUCCAGUCUCCUCCUCCUCCUUCAAACUUCUCUUCCGACCAUCCUUCCUUCUCCUCCAAUGAUAGGCCUCCUUCUAUCCUGUACCGGCCCCUCACCUGUAUUUUACAAAUUCAAUGGGGAGGUGGUUCUGGUGAAGUCACCUGAGUUCUAAUGAGUAGUGAGUAGGCAGUUGUCCUUGGGGCAGUGGAAUUAGCAUCAAAAUACAGAUAACUCCAGGGCAAACCACAACAUUUACCCCUUUUUGUCCAGUUAAAAAGCCUUUUCACAGCUACCGUGUACUCAUAUACAUAAAAUAAAUAAAAUCUUUAAAAAAAAAGCCUUUUCACUUAUAUAUAAAUUGAGUACAAUUAUUACCAUUCUACAAUUUAUAAAGCAUACGAUAUACUCAACAUCCAGUCCAUCACUAUGUCAAUUAAACAGAACAUUUAGUUAUCCAUUCCAGCUUAAGAAAGGCUUAAAAUCUAUAUUAUAUCUUGGCUAGCUUGUAUACUACCUGAUAACUAUCCAAUAAAAUAUAUAUUCAGAGUUAUACAGCCUGAUAGGCUAUGAGACUAUAAUCAGUCUUCAACCCCGUCAGAAAUCUGAGAAUGACCAAAUAUCUAUACACAUAGGAAGCCUAACACGGCUUCCAGAACUGAGAGGUUGUAGAGACAAAUCUCCACUAGCGCAGUCCCCUGUUAGCAACAUGUGAGCGCAAGUCUUCAGCCUUCUGGCCCAAAAUCAACUGACAGGCUCUUGAAAUGCAAAUUUUGAAGGGCUGAUCACCCUGUCUUGGCAGAAUUUAUCAGUCAACUAUUCUGCAUAAUUUGUCCUUUUCUGGACAGUAUUAGUCUGCAGAUGAAACAGGCGGUUUUGUCCAGUGGCUGCCUAGCCACAAAGUAUUGCCUCAUCUGGAGGUAGAGAUGUUCAAAUUCUUCAUUAAAUCCGCCAAAGGGGAACUGUUAGGAGCAGAUAUGUCUCAACAAAAGAUAAAUACCUUUAAAUCUCAAAUUUUGUGGAUAUCUGACAUUUUUGAAAACCAUCUAUCUAUAUAAGGUAAUCUGAACUGUUGUCUCCAUAUCCUAAAUUUUAUCUUGAAAGUACUCUCACAAACUCAGAGCCAUGACUUUGCUAUUUGAAUCUUAACUCACAGGUGCAAUCAACUCAGAAGUUUGUAAUGACAACAAUAGAAGAACUGGCUCUAAACCUUGUACUUUUAAACUUUUUUGACAAAUAAAUUCUAUACGAAAGCAAAGAUAUCAUUUUAGCUUAAUUACCAAAUGAGAUUAUGACUGUACAAUUCAAUCUAGCUAAUUCCUCCCCGUUAAAUUACAACCAAUUUUAAAUUCCUCAUAAAAACAACUUUAGAAUAACCACUUUCAGCCCCCCCAAAGUCCAGGGAAUUGGGGCGACGACUCCUCCAUAACUUCUUCAAGCUGUAUAUGGGUGUUGAGCUAUCCUUGGGGGUAGGGGGUAGGAAGAAUGAAGCAAAUGCUGUAGCCAAUGUGUCCUGACUGGACCCAGCUGAAAGUCCUUGAGAUCAGGAUUCCAAGUAGGCACACACUGUAAAAUACAACUCUCAAGACAAAAGUUUAGAAUGGAGAUAUCUUUUUGUUUGACUCUCCUGAAUAAAUUUUUCAGGCGGUCUACCUCAAUCAAAUCUGAUCAGUAUGACUCUGUGAGAUUUCCAGAGCCUAAUCACACUUUUUAAAAGCACAAAGACAAAAUCUUUCUCCCAAAAUUCUGUGUUCCUUAGUCUGAAACUAGAAAAGCUUGUAUCUUGCACUCUCUCCCAGAGUAAUAAUAUAAUCAUAAAACUCAAAGUCACACCCAUUAUGAAGAUUAAACAAUUUUUUAAAAAAGGAAGCAAGCUAAACAAUGAGCCUGAUAGGCUUAUCAGGAAAUUAACCCAAAAUUCCCGUGGAGCCCACGUUAAGAGACUUUGAGCUUCCUGUUGUGGUAAAUAUCAAAAGUAACCACAAACCCUUGCUAGCCAGCAUCAACCAGCCAUAUGGCCUUUAGCAGGGUAAUUCAUAAGACAAACCAAAUACUUUCUAUCAAUUCCAGUAUCAAUAAGCAACAUAUCAAACCAGGACUUUAGCCCAAAAUAUCUCAAUCUGUUAAGCUCUCUACCUGGAGCCACAGAUUUUUAUUUAACCUUAAUAACUUCUAUAAUAUAUGCCUGCAUUCACUCUCCUUGGUGUUACAGACAUUCGGGUAAUCUCUUUAUUCUCUUCUUUCUAAAAACAAACUCAAUCACCUUUUAAUAAUACCCGUAAUUAAGAAGUAGCUUGUCUAACUAGGAUUUCAACCCAAAAUUCCCGUGAAGCCCGCGUUAAAAAGAAUAUGAGUAUCCUGAAAGACUUUCUAAACAACUUUCUUUAAAAAGCAACUUUUAAUCUCUAACUCUGAGCUGCCAUUACUUCUCACACAGCAGGGGACCUACAGCCUGCCAGCCCAGGUGGCUUCCCCGUUUCUUUGUUUGUAUUCCUUUGAAUUUCUUUGUUUAAGAUAUCACAUGACUUAACAUGGUGCCAGCCUCCUAUUACUUGGAAAAAAAAAAACUUUCUUUCAACUCUUAGGAUUACUAGUGGCAUAUCUUGGCGGAAACACAUCCCAGCCGCACGCUUUCCUACACUCAAACCCUCACAUAAAAGAACACACAACACAAUAAUCUUAGAUCCAAUUGGUAAGAUGUAAUUGCCCACUUAGACAUACAAAGCCCGGUACCAUCCAUCCCUAGGAACAUUAAUAACAACCUGUAAUACACAGAGCAGAAUCUUAACAUCACCUUCUCACCCCUCUCCUUGGAAUAUAAGGUUUUAUAGCUCAGGGAUAAGGGAUUUCCAAAUGGGAAAAUGGCAGGCAAAUAGGUGGGAUUACAGAAGAAGAACAAAAGCGUUAGUUGGUCAUAACAAUAUCUUAGGAAACAAAGGUGUCGCAAGGUGGUCAUAACAACAGGUGGUCGUCAUAACCUCUAUUAAAAAAAAGAUUUUUAUUUAUUUUAUGUAUGAGUAUUCUAUCUACAAUAUACCCGUGUGCCAAAAGAGGGCAUCAGAGCCCAUUACAUAUGAUUAUGAGCCACCAUGUGGUUCCUGGGAACUGAAGUCAGGACCUCCGGAAGAGCAGCCUAUGCUCUUAACCAUUGAGCCAUCUCUGCAGCCCAACCUUUUUAAAAAUAUAUUCUUGAAGAUUUUAUUUAUGUGAGUACACUGUCACUGUCUUCAGACACACCAGUAGAGGGCAUCAGAUCCCAUUAUAGAUGGUUUGUGAGCCACCAUGUGGUUACUGCAAAUUGAACUCAGGACCUCUGGAAAAGCAGUCAGCCCUCUUAACCACUGAACCACCUGUCCAGCCCCCACGAUAUCCUUUUGAAACAAGGGCAUGAUUGCCAUUUCCUGGAGCAGGCGGAACAGAACCAUUUGUAAUUAAGGUUGCAGGUGGGGCACAGCCCAAUCCCUGAGAAACAAAUUUAAUGUUAAACGGAAAUGAAGCUAGUUUAUCUGUACUGUAAUACGACUUUCCAGUCUAAGAUGGAGACAGGCUGGUCAUCAAUAAUGUGAUCAUAAACAUUUGUAAACGACUACUUCAGGAGGCCACAGUUGUCUGGGUAAGGAUCUGUUGGAAGUAUACGCACAACGUUGUUCCCAGCACAUCUUGUAGAGUUCCUACAGAUUCGGGGCCCUAACAGGAUCACACAGUGGCAAUUCCUUGUGGGGGUCAGUUCUUUCUGUCAGAUGGCAGCACCUCCUUGAACACACACACACACAGAGUCACUAACUGGUGUCCAGGGAGCUGUGGGGGCUGAUUUAUCUGUGACAGGAGAGUUUAUAUAGAGCAUUUUUGGAUGAGCAGUGCAGUUAAACAUGGUGUAGGAAAACGGUAGGAGAUCUGGGCUACGUUUUGCCUUCCCAGGGCCAUGCGUCUUGUACUUACAGAUGAUUUUCCUUAGGGAAUCACCACUCUCCUGCUUAGUCCAAAAUCUCACCCUCUCCCGUCUCCUGUCUUCCUCUUCUCUUGAGCACUUGUGUGGAUAUGCAUAAGACUUGAACCUCCUGUAAAGCCUGACUCCCUCCAUCGGCACAAGACUGUUACUUUUGUUGUGCACCAACAAGGCUCAGGUCCAGGUCUGGGUGCUGAAUGGCUGUGAAGGAGCUGUUCUCUGAGUUAACUAGAAGAAAAGAUGUGCAAGACAGAGAGCUACUGAAGGCAGGAAAGUGGCACGAACUCAGCCCAGGGAGGGAGCAGAUUGGAUCGCAGGUGUGUACCAUUACUUACUCCCUGGUCCGAAUCAACCAGCCACCAGGGUCAUGGCACACUUUCAGACAAUCUGGGCUUUACAGCUGAGGGAGGAAAGACUUGUUUAGAAACAAGAAGAACCUGGAAAUAAAAACCCAUAGACUAAAGGACCCUAACGUCUAGAUGACCUUGGUUUCCUUCUUGCAUGUACUGCACGUAUUUGCUCGCCUAGGGAGUUCUUCAAGACUGCAUCUCUACUGCAAUCUGGUCCUAAUUUACAAUAUCUAUUUCAAUAUGAACACUAGGAACUAUCUUAUCAUUAGAGGUACGUAUCCUGCUCUGCCCAUAGCCAUGUUUCCUCUUAGUUCCCUAGUUUCCACCCUGCUUCUUACCGAAAAGAUGAUUAACAAAGAAACAGGCAUGUGCACGAGCGAACACACACACACACACACACACACACACACACACACACACACACAGGGUUGGGAGGGCAUUUAAAAAUGUCAUGUUUAAUGACACUGGCUUCCUCCCUCAAUUCUCAUUAUUAAUCUCAGAUACAUGAAUAGUGAAUAUUUUUUUAAUGAAGUGCCCCUCUAAUGUACUCAUGUAAAUAUCCAAAACCAGAGAAGAAGCUCUAACAGAAAAGUGACGAACAAGGAACAGAAGUAUAGGUUAGGCAUUACUUCUCUGACAGUGCAACCAACCACGGUCCAAGAUGAUCUACUAAGUUUUACUACAAGUUCAAUAUGAGCUACUUAAGUUUUACUACAACACACAAAUCACAGAAAAAGACAACACCAUCCACAACUCCAUCCCCGUUUUAAAAAGAGUACUAAAGAUGAAAAUGGUUUUAGGAUCCUUCCCACUUAACCUCAUAGCUACUGAUUAGCCUUAAAUACCAAGUAAGGAGAGUAAAAACGCUGAACAUUUAGGAGAAAGAAAAUUUAAAAAUAGACAACUAGGGGUUGGGGGUUUAGCUCAAUAGCAGAGCGCUUGCCUAGCAAGCGCAAGGCCCCGGGUUCGGUCCCUAGCUCCGAAAAAAAGUUAAAAGAAAAAAUAGACAACUAAAAUACGUCCUAGUUUACAGCACUUACUCUCAAACACCUUCUAUCUAACUAUUGUUAGAGCUACCCAGCAUAAAGACAAAGCAGUCAGAUAACCUGAGAUGCUAAAAAGUAAAAGAGUUACUUCUAACUUUAAACAGUUAUUAUUCCCCGGAGGGGGUGCACCGUUCCUGGAGGUACUGCAAUACCAGGUCGAUGCGUGGAGUGGACGGAGCAAGCUCCUAUUCCAACUCCUAGUUCCAAAAAUCCAUUUAAUAUAUUGUCCUCGGAUAGAGGACGUAUCAGAUAUUAAACUGAUAAGAACAGAUACUACACUUGAUCUUAGCCAAAAGGCCGAGAAGCGAUGCCUGGCACCCAGCACGCAGCCAAGCUCUGCGUCCGCAAGACACAUUUACUUCGUGGUGACCGCCCGAAAAAAAACCCUCACUUCCUGCCUUUCUCACGGCCCCCUCCUCCUUCCGUUCGCCCCCGCAUCCUUCACCCCUCACUCCCUCUCCAGUACCCACAGCUUCACUACAAUUCCCACGAUCGCGGCUCUCCCGGCGUUCCCGCGCGCGCACGCGGACUCUGAUUUACAUGUCCCGCCCCCUCGCGAGGGGCGUGGCGACACCGAUGCCUGCUGACUGCUGCCUCUGAGCCGCGUUCAGGAGUUUUGGGAACAUUUUUACUUUGGUCUCCAAGGAGGAAGGCUGCGGCAUUGUGGUGGGCAAUGCUCUAGAGGAGACGCGGUGGCGGAUGGUGGCAGAAAGGGGCACACCUACUGUUCCUAGUUUGCGUUUGAGUGAGCUGGCAGACGAGCUUCUCCGAUCCGCGGAAGGUCAACUUCCGAGUCGAGAGGGCAGCGCGGGGAUAUAGAAUCCCGCGGACUCCGAGGGGUUCAAUCCCACCGGGCACUGCGGCUGCGCGCCGUCACCCCUCCCCGCCCCCAACUUCGAGACUGACUCCGUUCUCUCCCCUCCCUAUCCUGGUCACUUAGCGACCGCAUGGGUGUCUCCGCCUCCCGCGGCUCCUGCGCCUGCCCAAAUUAGAUAUGGUCCCGGUAUUUUACCUAGUCUUGCUAGUAGAAGUGGGGCAGGCUCCGGGAAAAUGCUUUGUAUUCACGAUCCUCAGAUAUUCACAAACCCAGGAUGCUGGAAAACAAUGGCUGAGUGGUUAGGAGCACUUGUAUGCUCUUGCAGGAUCCAGAUUCAGUAACUAUUAUUUACAUGAUACUUCACAACUGUCUGUUGCAGGGGAUUCAAAACCGAAUUCUGGCAUCUGUGGAGAACAGGCUCACACGUGGUACACGUGCAGCCAAAAUAGCCAUACAUAUGAAAUUCAUCUUUAAAAACACGUUAUCGGCUCAUUACAUAUUAGGAUGUCUGAACAAAUAGGAUGAGCAGAGUUAAAAUUUAUUAACAUUUUAAACAGAUUUAAACAUAGGCGUUAAUAGUUCUCGGGAGAACAGUGCACACUCCAGUGUGGACGUAGACCUCUCAAGAUAGUCUCCCACAUAUCUUAGCAGUAGCCAUGUGAAUGAUUUUUUUAUGUUUCCUGACUGUAUACUGUUUGAAAAUUUCAUAAGAAUCUCUCCAGGCCUACCUUCAGAGCGGUUCCUGGGGUGGGUUGGAUAAGAUGACCAUGACCAUCUAUAACAUGAAAGCAAGGGUCACAGAAGGUGCAAUAUCAGUUAAGAUAUGCCUUUCACUGUGACCUUGUGAGGGGGGCAGGGAGGAGGGAAGUGAGUGGGGGGAGAGGAAAGGGAAGAGAUAUUUACUACUGGCUGGGAAAGAGGAAGAUUCAUUGUUACUUAGAUGUUUUGUUUUGUUUUUGACAUACAUACAUAUAUAUAUAGGAAUGUAGGCAUAAUGUAUAAACAUUGCCCCCCAAUUAUUCCCUGAUUGGGGAAUAAAGCUAGCUGAUCAGCCAAUGACUAACAGGGGAAAGAAAAGAACCUCACAUCCAGUCAGGGGAGAGAAGGGCAAGUGGGGAUUUAGCUAAGGGGAGAGUCCAGGAGACCUUUUGAGAAAACACCUUGAGCCCAGACAACCAGAUAGGUACUAAAAUGAAAGUAUCUCUGAGAUUUUGGCUGGAGGAUAGCCAGAUUAGCAUAGAGGAUUAAAAUAGAGUAAUACGGCUCAGUUGUUGUGCCCUUAUAGCUUGUUAAAUAAAUAUAAUAAUCCAGUCGCAAUUAUUUGAGAGUCACCUGGGUUAAGAGGAAAACUGCAACAAAUAGUUAUAAAAUAGCUACUAAUGGGGCUGGAGAGCUAGCUCAAUGGUUAAGAGCACUGCCUACCCUUCUGGAGGUCCUGAGUUCAAUUCCCAGUAACCACAUGGUGACUGAAAUUCAUCUGUAAUGGAAUCUGAUUCUCUCUUCUGACCUGCAUGAAAACAGAGCACUUAUACACAUAAAAUAAAUAAAAUCUUUAAAAAAAAACCCUACCAUAGAAAUAGUGUCUCCAUAUGGGCAUUUCACUGGAAAUGUUUUUGUUGAUUAUGUUUGACUCUCAACGUUCAAAAAAUUUCAAGUGAACUCCAGGAAGAACCUAUAUGUUCUGCCCAAGUGCCCUAUAAUCCCCACACCACAUCUUUUCCUUUACAGGGGUUCCUCUGUGUAGCUCUGGCUGUCCUGGAAUGCACCCUGUAGACCAGGCUGGCUCCAAGCUUCCAAAGAUCCAUCUGUUUCUUCCUCCCAAGUGUGGGGAUAUGCUGGGCAGACUAACCCAUAGCACUGUGUUUUUGCUUGCCCAGCAAUGAAGGGCUCUAUCCUAGCCAGGGUGGGCAGACCUGUGGAGAACUUUAAGGGCUGCUUGGCAGGAAUUUGAGGUUUGGCCAGGACAAGGAAGUAAGCUCAGGCAGGGAUCUGGUUUUAGGCUAGAACAAAGAAGUAGACUUCAGGCAAGAGUGUGACUUUGGGCUAGGAUAGGAAGCAGGCUCAGGUACCUUGGUCAUCUUGAUCAGCCUCUAGAAGCAGUGGUCAUAGGACUUUGUUUAUUGCCUUGCUUGUUCCUUGACUAUUUGUGUUUAUUGUUUUGCCUGUUCCCUUAACCUAGAACUGACCCUAUUACUUGCAUGUAGUUUAAAUGGUAUAAAAGUAGACUAGAAAAAAAAAUAAACCUGCCUCAGCCUCAGAACUAGCUGGGGUCAUACUACAAUGUUGUGUCAUUGUCUUUUUCUUGUUUUAAUCCUUGCUCCUGCCCUGGAGAACCUGUUGACUGACUGAGCUGGCUUGGUCACCGAUCUGAGUAAAAACUUACACAGUUUCCUUGUGAUGACUAAAGAGACAAUAUGGAGCCAGGCAUCCCAUAAGAGCCGUGGACUUUUUGAUCAGGAGUGCCAGAGAUCCUAGUGGCCUGCAGGGGUCCAGACCCACCGGUUGAGAACUGCUGCAUGAGACCUUUACAGUCCCAAGAAGAAGGUGGAGGGGAAUUUGAUAAUACAGUCCUGUGAUCCUACCACGUGGGCAGUGGAGGUGUAAUGGGAUCCGGUGCCCUCUUCCGGUGUGCAUGAAGAGCAGUCAUACAUGUUAAAUAAAAUUCUAAAAAGAUUUA